UCCGUCAUCAAAUAGUGUUUCCAGAGGUCGACACGUGUCCUUAUCACCUAUACGCAUCGUUUCAUUUAAAAUAUCUAGACAACUUAGAGCACCUCCAAUCGGGGUUCUACCCAUUGGAGUUCUUAAAAUGCAUAUGUGUGUAUGUAAAUGUUAUAUGUGUGUAUAUAGUUAUGGGGUCUACUACUUUUGUGAAGAACCCCAUCCAAAGGUUCUUAAAACAAUGUUGUUUAUGAUCCGGAUGAGGAUGGAGUGAUUCGAUUUUGAAUUUCAUAUUGUGUAAUCUGACAUCAGAGAAAUUGAACUUAUGAUUGGUGAUGUGAUUGUUUGAUUCAGAGAUGCUGAGUCUUCUGGAAUCAUUGAAUGCUCUGACAAUUAUUUCGUUGCCGACCAUGUCUCAUUGAGACAAGAAUUGAAUGUACUAUCUUACAUAGCAGUAGGAGAUACUGAUGUGUAUUGUUUCUUGAAUUUUUGUAUGUACAAAUAGAUGGACAUGUCAUUGUGAAGCUCACCUUUGAGAGAAGAUAAAAGUACAUGGAACUAAAACCAGAACAAGAAGGGAAAACAAGGUUUAUCUUUCUUUUUUUUCACAUCCGACCAACAUUUCUCUCCACAUCCGACAAAGCUGAUCUAUUUUCUUUGUUUUCCUUAAAUAUUUUCAUCGUUGAUGCAAAUUUCGCCGCAUCAGCUUUAUCUAGGUAAGCUAUAAGCUUUGAAGGUAUUCAUUGUGUUUUUUUGUGUAACCGAACAUAGUUGGUAUCAGAUUGGAUUUAACCGCUACUUAUACACUUGGCGGGAGCAUAUGAUGAAGAGGCUGCUGCUAGAGCUUACAAACUUGCUGCCUUGUAAUACUGGAGAUCUGGGACACUUAUCAACUUCCCACUGAGUUUUCUAUGGAGCAGGUGAUGAUCGAGGAGCAGAAGGUGACUUUCUUGGCAGCUUUUAUCUGACAUGAUACAUAAGGUGGCGGGGAGUCAAUAAAACCUUUCAGUCAGAAUCUUCAUCAAAAGCAUCGGAGGAUGCAAAGGUUGAAGAUGUUGGUACUGAGCUUAAAACACUGGAAGACACAUCCGAGGAAACAGGGCCAUACAAAUCCCAAAACAUUGGCAUUACUCAAAGAAAAGAGAAACAAAUAUCAUCGUUGUCUUCUACCUCUUCUGCCUUAAGCAAUUUGUCUGUGUCACCUGCUUACAGGAGCCUAGAGGAGAAAGUGGUAAAGAUCCAAGCACUGCUACAAGCAGGUGGAGAUGUUCUUGGAGAUGAUAACCUAACCAUACCAUUCGACCAAGCACGAAGAUCCAUUUACGUGCCAAGUUUUAAAUUUCUGAAUUUCUUUUAUAAUUAUCCCUAUUCUGUUAAACUUUUAAUGUUUCCAGUACCUUUAUUUAAUCGGAUCUUAACUUGGUUAUCAAACAAAAUUUGGUCGUACACACUCAAACUUGGACUGUAAUAAUUAAACCUUCAACCGUAAUCAUAUAAUAAUUCCUUGCAAUGCAAUGCAAAUUAACAUCGUAACUUAGAAUUCCACAACACACACGUCCACACUAACUAGCAUGAGCCCAUGCAUCACAAUCAUAACAAGGAAACAUUAAACCCACAAAGCACUCAACGAAUUUUGAAACAUAGUAUACAACAAUUCACCCCUAUAUUUAAAUAUAAAAAAAUAUUAAGAAAAUAUAGACACAAACAACAAAAUAAAACAACAAUGAUAUAAUAUAUUUAUCAUGUUAAAAGUAUAUAAUGUGAUAUAAUUUUGGAUCAAGUUACAUUCAUUUAUUGAAUCAUUAUGUGGUAUAUAAUUGUUGUUUUAUUUUGCUGUUUGUGUCUAAUAUAUAUUUUUGUUCCAUAAUAAAAUUAUGGUAAAAUUUUAAAAUAAAAUAAUAGAUUACUCAGUAUAACCAAUGAAAAAUACAGAAAAGGUAAUAGAAUAAAUAAGACAAUCACUCUUUAUAAGCUGAAACUGAAUAAUAAUAUUGUUAAAUAAAUAUUCUAAUCAGUUUCGAUGGUAUAGUUCAUCUAAUAAAUGUUUUAAUACAAUCUACCUCAAUUUAAAAAAUAGUUUUACUGUGAAGCAAUUAUAUAUUUUUCUUAUUAACUAAAACCAAAAUAUUUAAAAGAAAAUAUAUAAAAUAAACUAAAACUCAUAGUGGAUUAAAAAAAUUACAAGAAAAAACAAUUCAUAAUCUAUAAGUACAAUCUCAAUUACAAUUCCCAGUAAUUUUAUUUAAUUUACUGAUUAUAAUGAUGAUAGAAAAACAUUCAAAAAUGAAAAUAAACCUACUAUUUUUAUGAUAUUAUUUUUUAUUAGUUAAACAAGGUUUUUUACAACAUAAAUAAAAAAGAUAUCAAUUAAUAUUAUUGUCAAUUGUAUAGAAAUUUUCUGUAGAUAAAACUGAUCGCUUAACAUAAUCACACUCACAACCAAAUGAACAUACAAGAAAAACAUACACAAAAAUAAUAUAUUUGAUAUCAACAAAUACGUCACAUCCCAAAAAUAAGAUGCCCUACAUGUCGAGACACAAUAUUUUAGUCAAAAUGUUUCCCAUUUUCAGGUACAAGAAGUUGUACUCAGUUUGUCCAUUUAAAAUAAUACAUUUGUCGCUUUUUACCUUUUUUAUUUCUUAUUUCUCCAUAUUUUCCUUAUUAAUAAACUUAUUUGUACGAUUAAUUACAUAAUAUAUAAUCAAAUAUAACCAAAAAUAACAUACAAAAGAAACAAAUAAAGGCUAAAAAACAACAACAAUUGUUAAUAAUAUCAAUUACUAACAUUCCACAAAAACUUUAAUAACUUUGACAGAGAGUUCCUCUAAACAAAAACCUCAUUCGCCACUAUUUUAUAAACCCUCACAAAAAAGUAUGCAAUGGUAUUAGAAAACUCGAUCUCAUUCUCUUUUGAUCGAACCCGAUUAAUUUAUGUAUUUAUAGUGUUAUAAAACUUAAAGCACUAUAAAAGCUUACAAUUCAAGAUUAAAACAGCAAAAUACUAAGGUUUCGAUCAUUUUUAGUUAUAUAAUUGAAUUUUAGUGUAGACAACAUAAUCAUACUCACACUUAACUUAACAUAAAAAAUAUUUACACAAAAUCAUAUCUUUUAAAAAACUGAUCCAUCAAAUCCUGCGUGUAGCGCAGACCUCCCUAGUAUAUUUAAUAAAAAUAUUUAAGAUUUACUUGAGGAAAAGCAUAUAGCUUAGACGAAGUAAUCACAAACAUGACAUAAAUUGCUUUGUUAAUUGUUUAAUUCCAUGAAGAGACAUCUCAAAAAAAAAAUUGAUUUGUUAUUCAAUUUUUUGUUAAUUCUUUUCAAUAGAGAGUCAUCUCCAAUAGGAUUUUUACUAUUUUGUUGUUUGAAUUUUUGUUGAUUUUUAAUUCAAUUAAAAAUCAUCUCAAACAGGAUUUUAAUUAUUUUGUUGCUUGAUUUAUGGGUGAUAUUUUAAUUCUGGGUAUUCUCAGGCAAAAAAAAAUAGUUAUAAUCAUGUUUGACAUGACUAUCUUUUGAGUUAAAAAAUCAACAAAAAAUCAAAGAAUAUAACAACUAAAAUCUUGUUUGAGAUGUAUGCCCAUGAAGUUAAAAAUUAAACCAAAAUCAAAUCAAAAUAAUUAUAAUAUUGUUAAAGAUGACUCUCCGUGAAUGAUUGUUAAUUUCUAUGUUCUAUUUAGCAUGAAAGUUUUUUUUUUGAAUUUUUGUUCAACAUUUACAGUCUAAACAUCAAUUUAUGAUUUUUCUUAAUUCUUGUUCGUAGUUUAGACUGAAAAUUUGACAUUAUGUAUAUAUUUUAUAUUUUAUUUUAUUUUGUCAGUUUGUGUUGAGUUCUUUGGAUAUGUGAAGUUAUUUUAAAAUCAAAAUAUUGCAUAUUUAAUUAUAAUUUGAUCUAUUUAUGCAUAAUAAUAAUUGGGAAUAAAUAUGUUGAUUAAGAGAAAUUUAUGAAUUAAAUACAUAUUAUUUUGAUUCUGAAUUUACCAUUAAAAUGGUACCAAAUUCAAAAACACCAUAACGUUUCUGUUAAGCAUAUAACAAUUGAUUUUUUUUUAAAGUCACAAUUUUCAGAAUCAAAUGUAAGUCAAAAAAUAAACAUGCCAAAUACAAAUACUUGUAGAAUUAAUUAAACAUUUUCUUUGAAUACCAAUUUUAUUUGUAAAGCAAAAUAUUAUGAUACAUGAAUAGUCCUAUAAACUAAAUUUUUUUACUUGAGUUGUUCAUUUUAUUGUGUGAAACAAUAACUUUCUUUUUACCUCUUGUAAAAAAAUGAAGAAAAUUUAAUGAAAAAUCGAUUGCAAUUUUCAUAUCGCAUACACUUUAUAUAUUUUUUAUUUGUUUGAAAUAUAAUUAUUACGUUGACUCUAAUUUUUUUGCAACUGGCAAAUAGUAAAAAAAAUUGCUGUUUAGAUUUAUGUGCUAUCACUAGGUGUGCCAUAUAUUUUACAUCUAAGCAUAAAAUGAGCUUAGAAAAUAAAUAUAAAACUAAAUCAUUUUUAAAGAUAUGAAAACAAUCAAACAUUUUCAGCCUUAUCCUAGCAUGUUGCUUUACAAAAAGUUUCGGUACUAAAGAUACAAAUAACAUGAAUCUUUGAUCUCACUUAUUUUGCUAUCUACACAUCAUGUGCAUAAAUUAACAACAUUAGAGUGAGAUCAUAUUUUUGAAACGACAAAUCUUGUAAAUUAUUAGUUAUGGAACCAAUAAAACAAAGAUGUAAUAUAAACAAUAUGAAGCAUAAAAAGAGUAAGUUUCUUCCAUAUUCUCACAUGUAAUGCUUGCAAUAAAAUAUGGAGGAUUGGCUUAGAGAAAGUUUUAUCAUAUACUUCGUUCUACCAAAUGUCAAUACACUUUCAAAAUCUUCAAACUUUGAAAACACAUAAACAAAGAACCAAACAUGGACACAUAUCUGAAAUAAGAUUUUAAUUAUUUUGUUAUUUGAUUUAUGUUGAUUAUUUAAUUUUAGGGAGAGUCAUACAGAACGUGAUUUUAAUUAUUUUUUGAAUAUUGGUUGGUCUUUUUUAUUCUAUGGAAGGACAUCUCAAAUAGAUUUUAUUGUUUUGUUGUUCAAAUUUUGGUUGAUUGAUUAAUUUAAGGGGGAGUCUCCUUAAAUAUGACUAUAUAUAAUUGUUUUGUUCUUUGAUUUCUAGUUGAUUGAUUAAUUUAAGGGGGAGUCUCCUUAAAUAUGACUAUAUAUAAUUGUUUUGUUCUUUGAUUUCUAGUUGAUUGUUUAAUUCUAUCAAAAACUAUUACAAACAAUAUUUGAUUAUUUUUUACUUUAAAUAAAAAAAGAGUCAUUUCAAACAACAACAAAACUAAAAUCAUGAUUGAAAUGAUUCUUUAUGGUAUUAAAAAAUCAACUAGAAAUUAAACAACAUAACAAUUAUAAUCAUAUUUAAGACUCUCAUUAGAGUUGAACACAAAUUGAUAUGAAUCUUCAUGUAUGCUUAUUUUUUUAUGUUUUGUUUAACUUGAAUACUUCUCCUAAUUUUUGUUCAACAUUUGGACUGAAAACAUGAAAUUAUGUUUUGUAUUUUUUUUUCAUCUUUUAGACUGAAAAUGUGAAGUCAAAUAUAAUUUUCUCUAUUUUUGGUUAAUGUAUGUAUCAAUUUGUGUGAAAUUACGUUUUAGCUAAUUUAUUGAGUUAAUUCUAACUUGAUAUAUUGUUUUACAAGUAUAAAAUUUAUUUUAAUUUCUGUUAAUUAGCAUUUAGUAAACAAUAUAGAAAAACUUUGACAAAUGUAUUGCCAUCAUUAAUUUGAAGCACACGUAAUGAUGUCAAUACACUUGUCAAAGUUUUAGAAAUGUAAUGUAAUGUAUAUAUGAAAUACAAUUAAGCUUUAGAAAAGAAAAAAAGAAAAUUCAAUCAUGUUGUGGAUAUAAAAACAAUCAACUAUCUCCAGCUUAAUCAUUGAACGUGAUUU